rnacentral:lncRNA from 1 species
CCUUUUCUUAAUAUUACUCUCUCCAUUUCAAUACAAUCAAGAAAAAUAGGAAAAUCAAAUACUAUUGGGUGUUGGGUUAUUUUCCCUCCAGUGUAAUACAUUUUCUUAGCUAGAGUAGUCACUUUCUUUUUUCUUAAAUUUCUGCAUGAUUGAAUUGGCAUGUCUACCUUGUAGUCUACUCAAAACAUAUUUAUAUAUAUAUAUUUCACAACAUCUAAAAGGUUCCUACAUAACUAUCUCAUUUUCAUUUAAUGUUAUUUAAGCCCUUAGCUUAUCUUAUUAUCAUCACAGCAACAAAUGACUUUCCUAAUGACCUCUGAAAUGAACUUGAGGAACAACUCUGGCCCCUGCCUCUACUAUGAAGUGUGGCAUACUUCCUUUACUGAUCCAGUUGAACAUAAACCUUGACAAAGUGUGGAUCAGAGCUACUAUAAAAUUGACAAACAUGUUGGAGAAGAGAGAAAUCAGUGAAACAAAUGUUUGA